CUCCCCAGUGAUGAGACUUUUACCGCCCCAGUCUGAUUUCUUGUGACUGAGUGGUCCUUUCUGAGGCU
rnacentral:snoRNA from 1 species